rnacentral:lncRNA from 1 species
AGCAAACCAAAAAUUACGUGGUUUCAUCUCAACAAUCCAUAGAUACAAACCAAGAUCUAUGUCCAUUUAGUAUUCAUCGAUACAUGGGCAAUAAAUCUCUAAGAAAUUUGAAAUUUCAUCCUUGAUAAGUAUGUUUAAUUAUUUAUGGAAUAAGGUGGAAUAAGGCUGGGAUGAUGUUUUCUUUUUCUUCUCUUCUGAAAAACAAAUUUUGUCCCUCUAUUAUUAAUUAGGUUGUAUCAA